rnacentral:rRNA from 1 species
GAUGAACGCUAGCGGCAGGCUUAACACAUGCAAGUCGAGGGGUAUUUAUCUUCGGAUGGAGAGACCGGCGCACGGGUGCGUAACGCGUAUGCAAUCUACCUUUUACAUAGGGAUAGCCCAGAGAAAUUUGGAUUAAUACCUCAUAGUAUAUAGACUCGGCAUCGAGAUUAUAUUAAAGUCACAACGGGAAAAGAUGAGCAUGCGUCCCAUUAGCUCGUUGGUAAGGUAACGGCUUGCCAAGGCUACGAUGGGUAGGGGUCCUGAGAGGGGGAGGCCUCACACUGGUACUGGGACACGUACCAGACUCAUACGGGAGGCAGCAGUGAGGAAUACAGGACAAUGGGAGCAAGCCUGAUCCAGCCAUGCCGCGUGCAGGAUGACCGUCCUAUGGAUUGUAACCUGCUUUUAGAAGAGAGGAAACACUGCUACGUGUAGCUGCUUGACGGUAUCGUAAGAAUAAGGAUCGGCUAACUCCGUG